CUACGGGUGGCAGCAGUGGGGAAUAUUGCACAAUGGGCGCAAGCCUGAUGCAGCCAUGCCGCGUGUAUGAAGAAGGCCUUCGGGUUGUAAAGUACUUUCAGCGGGGAGGAAGGGAGUAAAGUUAAUACCUUUGCUCAUUGACGUUACCCGCAGAAGAAGCACCGGCUAACUCCGUGCCAGCAGCCGCGGUAAUACGGAGGGUGCAAGCGUUAAUCGGAAUUACUGGGCGUAAAGCGCACGCAGGCGGUUUGUUAAGUCAGAUGUGAAAUCCCCGGGCUCAACCUGGGAACUGCUUCUGAUACUGGCAAGCUUGAGUCUCGUAGAGGGGGGUAGUAUUCCAGGUGUAGCGGUGAAAUGCGUAGAGAUCUGGAGGAAUGCCGGUGGCGAAGGCGGCCCCCUGGACGAAGACUGACGCUCAGGUGCGAAAGCGUGGGGAGCAAACAGGAUUAGAUACCCGCGUAGUC
rnacentral:rRNA from 1 species